CACAGACUUCAUCUCCCUAAAACUUUCAAUACCCCACCACAGAAACCAGGGAGGUCAAAGAAUAGAAGCUGUGCAAAUACCUGCCUUGGACAGAUCUGCUCACUGUUCAUCUCUUCUUCCUUGCAUUCUAAACAGCUCAUAAUGAUUUUAUUCAGGACAAGGAGGUUAUGUGCUUAUACUAAUACAGGACAGGAAUGAAGCUGUUACUUUCUGAAUCAGAAGCAAUCACACACAAAAUGUAGCUCUCCUUCCAGACCAGAGAAGACCUGAGGAUGAUGAACUGUCAGCAUGUUUCUGCAAAUAACCAUUUGUCAGAGAAACAAAAAAAUAACCCCAUUCUCUGCCCUCCCACUCCCACUCCAAUCUCUUCGAUUUAUAAAACUGCACAGGCUGGCUUUUGAAAACAAUGAAGCUGGUAGAAAAAAACAUAUGAACCUUAAAAAGACUUGUCAACAGGGAGAGAGUUAGGCAUGCCCCCGGGGAUACUGAGAAGAGAUCUCUUCCUACACCAGUAUAUUACAUUAUGUCAAACAAAAGAACACUCACAGGCUUCAGCACAGGGACUUCAAGUAAUAUUAUGAAUGAAUGAAUGAAUUCCCAAAAUGAGCAUUUAAAGCAGGAAUUGAGGACUGGAGAGCUUGCUUUCUGCUUCUGUUUUGCUGCCUUUCCAAAGUCCUGUCUCCCUCGUGCUGCAAGUGCCCAGCAAGCAGUCUGUCAGCUUUCCAGAUGUGUGAAGACAUAGAUUGAUGAACGUGCUCUAUGUACAGUAUAUGUAUUCUUCAAAUGAUAAUGUGUUUGCAAGAUAUUUAGCAGAAUUGCCUAACCCACACACCACAUCUAUAAAAUUAGUGAGAAUAGUAGGGACGUUUAAGUUAAUGGACUAUGAAGGUGGUGCAGCUGAACCCAAGAGCAGAAUUCUUACACAUCAUUUGCAAUAAAUAAAUAAAAUUUUAAAAAGGAUCACAGAUAUUAAAGUAAAAAUGAAAUUCUGCAGUCUAGCUUUUGAGGAGCCCAACCUCACUCCCACUUACACUGACUGAAGCUAUUGUGCAGCAUAAAAGACUUUGAGCCAGAGUGUAAGAACUAUGGCAGAUUUAAUCAUGCCAUAUGUUUGUUUAUUUUACCAAUUCCCCCACCACGUAUGAAUAAGGCAUGAUAUUCGGCCCAUCCAGGAGCUGAAGAAAGCUGCCACAACAUCAUGCCUUC
ensembl:lncRNA